rnacentral:rRNA from 1 species
GACGAACGCUGGCGGCGUGCCUAAUACAUGCAAGUCGAGCGGACCAAAGGGAGCUUGCUCCUGGAGGUUAGCGGCGAACGGGUGAGUAACACGUGGGCAACCUGCCUGUAAGACUGGGAUAACAUCGAGAAAUCGGUGCUAAAUACCGGAUAAUAAAAAGAACUGCAUGGUUCUUUUUUGAAAGAUGGUUUCGGCUAUCACUUACAGAUGGGCCCGCGGCGCAUUAGCUAGUUGGUGAGGUAACGGCUCACCAAGGCGACGAUGCGUAGCCGACCUGAGAGGGUGAUCGGCCACACUGGGACUGAGACACGGCCCAGACUCCUACGGGAGGCAGCAGUAGGGAAUCUUCCGCAAGUGGACGAAAGUCUGACGGAGCAACGCCGCGUGAGUGAUGAAGGUUUCGGAUCGUAAAACUCUGUUGUUAGGG